AAAUUUUACAAUGUACGUAAGUGCGAUAAAGGAACUCCCAGUGCUCAUGCUUAGCAUGGGCUUUUGUCAAGAGUAAAUAUCUUGACGAAUAAGUGGUGGGUAAGACUGGUGCCAGCCGCCGCGGUAACACCAGCGCCACGAGUGGGGAUCGCGUUUAUUGGGCCUAAAGCGUUCGUAGCCGGAUAUUCAAGUCUUGAGUGAAAUCGUUGCGCUUAACAAAACGACGUGCUUGAGAUACUGUUUAUCUUGGGACCGGGAGGUGUU
rnacentral:rRNA from 1 species